UGAAACUCAUUGACUUGAUUCCAUUCUGUCGAUGGAAAUAAUCCGGAACCAAUCUAUCCGUGAAAAUCGGGGCUGGCCCUGAGCUAACCUCCGUGCCCAUCUUCCUCUAUUUCAUAUGUGGGACGCCUACCACCACGUGGCUCGCCCAGCGGUGCCACGUCCACCCCCGGGAUCCGAACCGGCGAACCCCGGGCCGGCGAAGUGGAACAGGCACACUUAACCAGCGCGCCACUGGGCCGGCCUAGUGGCUUUCAUCGCAUUCGUUAAGUAGAAUUUUUAACCCUCACGAACCUUAAUUUUGGUGAAAACUAAGAAGUCAGCAAUUAGGAACUGUCCUUCCCAUGAGCAGUCUGUCGCUUGGCCAAUUUCUAAACACUUGGCCACUUUUAGAAACAUGGGAUUUCAUAGGUUUAUCUCUUCCUUCGCUUUAUUUGAUUUCAUCUCACUUUAGUUUUUGGGUGAGGAAGAUCGGCCCUCACAGAGCUGACGCCUGUUGCCAAUCUUCCUCUUCUUUCUGCUUGAGGGAGAGCGGGCCCGAGGUAACACCUGCGCCCCACUUCCUUGAUCUUGCGGACGGGAUGCCACCACAGCCCGGAGUGAGGAGCGGUGGAGGUCCACGCCCGGGAUCUGAACCCGAGGACCCCAGGCUGCCGAAGCUGAGUGCAGGAGCUUAACCACUAUGCCGCCGUGCCGCCGUCCCCUGUCAAAGCUUUUAAUAAAGCACGAGACGUGUUCCUCGAUA